rnacentral:tRNA from 2 species
GUCGGCGUAGCUCAGUUAGUUAGAGCGCGGCACUCAUAAAGCCGAGGUCGGAGGCGCGCAUCCUCCCGUCGACACAA